AGGUAGGUAUGGUGGACUCAUAUGGAACAACUUUGGGUUUAUGGAAGUGGAUGCACAAGCAGUAUUCCCGCCUAGUAAAAGUGAAGGCUAGCAAAAGACUGGGAAGCGACCAACUAGAGAGCGACAACAGUCAUCAAUAUGCAUUGAAAUUAAUCCACAUUGAGUGCAAGCAUGAGUAGGUCAUAAAUCACCAUAAACAUGAAUAU
rnacentral:lncRNA from 1 species